rnacentral:tRNA from 1 species
GCCCCCGUAGCUCAGCUGGAUAGAGCACCGGACUUCUAAUCCGACGGUCGUUGGUUCGAAUCCAACCGGGGGCG